rnacentral:rRNA from 1 species
GUCCACGCCCUAAACGAUGAUGACUAGUUGUUGGGGGAGUUAAAUCCCUUAGUAACGCAGCUAACGCGUGAAGUCAUCCGCCUGGGGGAGUACGGUCGCAAGAUUAAAACUCAAAGGAAUUGACGGGGGCCCGCACAAGCGGUGGAUGAUGUGGUUUAAUUCGACGCAACGCGAAAAACCUUACCUACCCUUGACAUGUACGGAAUCCUGCAGAGAUGCAGGAGUGCCCGAAAGGGAGCCGUAACACAGGUGCUGCAUGGCUGUCGU